rnacentral:rRNA from 1 species
GUGGGGAAUAUUGGGCAAUGGGCGAAAGCCUGACCCAGCAACGCCGCGUGAAGGAAGAAGGUCUUCGGAUUGUAAACUUCUUUUAUGAGGGACGAAGGAAGUGACGGUACCUCAUGAAUAAGCCACGGCUAACUACGUGCCAGCAGCCGCGGUAAUACGUAGGUGGCAAGCGUUAUCCGGAUUUACUGGGUGUAAAGGGCGCGUAGGCGGGGAUGCAAGUCAGAUGUGAAAUCUAUGGGCUUAACUCAUAAACUGCAUUUGAAACUGUAUCUCUUGAGUGCUGGAGAGGUAGAUGGAAUUCCUUGUGUAGCGGUGAAAUGCGUAGAUAUAAGGAAGAACACCAGUGGCGAAGGCGAUCUACUGGACAGUAACUGACGCUGAGGCGCGAAAGCGUGGGGAGCAAACAGG